rnacentral:lncRNA from 1 species
CUCUUCCAUGCGGCUGGAAGGGCCAACGCAUUGCUGUUUUCUGGGGCCCCCAAAAAUAAGUCCAUUAUAGUUAUCCCAAACAUCGACACAUAGGUGUUUCCUCCUGAUCUAGUUGAUGCAAAACAGUGUCUAAGAAUGAGCAAACCUAGCUCAGUUAGUCACAAGAAGCACAUCCGUACCAGCUACAAUUCUCAGCUGGUUCAACCAUCAUUUCAAAUCUUUCAGUUUUUAACAGGCAGGAAUCUUCAGGAGGACGCAACUAAACAAAAGCAGGAUGCAGCAAAAGAAAAGCACACCAAAGCCAGGCAGGGCGAGUGUGAUAAGAAGAGAGAAAAUUAAGGCAUACACUCUCACUAAGCUGCUGCUACCAGGCUUUUGGUGGCACCUAUCCGAUUUAUUUUUAGGUUUAUUAUUAGAUUUAUUACUAGUUUUAGAUUGGAUAUUAGGAAAAAUAUUCUUCACUUAAAGGAUUGUCAAGCACUGGAACAGGCUGCCCAGGGAGCUAGUGGGUUUCCCAUCCCGGAAGAAUUGUAAAAACAUGAAGAUGUGGAACCUGGGGACAUGAUCUAGUGGUGGACUUUGCAGUGCUGCAUUAAUUGUUGAACUUUAUGAUUAAUUGUUGGACUAAAAGGCCCUUUCCAACCUAAUCGAGUCUAUGAUUAUAUCCUCUCCUCUGCCACAUGGCACUCCAGCCUGGCAGUGUAAGAAGGCCAGGGCAGACCCUCCAGAGGCAGUGAUUAUACCUCUAGUGCCUGAUGCACCUGUAUCGUGUUCCUGAUGUUCCUGGAGCGAUCGGUCCACUCUGGCUCCCCUGCUGGGGCUUGGACUCUCACUGAGUGCUGCCACGGGCUGCUUUACAUCCCAACAGGGACGGCCAAGUCGUUUCCUCUUAAAAUUACACCAGUCCCCACUCCCCACACAAGGGACCUCAAGAGGCUGUGGGGGCCGAGAGCGACGGGGCACUGGAUUAUCCGCAGGGCUGAAACACGAGGUGGCUCUCUGGGCUGGGAGGCGGCGGCGUUCGCUCGUCCCUACCGGCACCCACAGGGUGAGUAA